AUUGAACGCUGGCGGCGUGCUUUACACAUGCAAGUCGAACGGCAGCAUGGGUAUGCUUGCAUACCUGAUGGCGAGUGGCGAACGGGUGAGUAAUACAUCGGAACAUUUCUCUUAGAUUGGGAUAACCCAUCGAAAGAUGGGCUACUACCGGAUAAGCUCUGAGGAUGAAAGCUGGGGACCUUCGGGCCUGGCGCUGCGAGUUUGGCCGAUGGCCGAUUAGCUAGUUGGUGGGGUAAAGACUUACCAAGGCGAUGAUCGGUAGCUGUUCUGAGAGGAAGAUCAGCCACACUGGGACUGAGACACGGUCCAGACUCCUACGGGAGGCAGCAGUGGGGAAUAUUGGACAAUGGGCGCAAGCCUGAUCCAGCCAUACCGCGUGGGUGAAGAAGGCCUUCGGGUUGUAAAGCCCUUUUGUUGGGAAAGAAAUCCAGCUGGCUAAUACCCGGUUGGGAUGACGGUACCCAAAGAAUAAGCACCGGCUAACUUCGUGCCAGCAGCCGCCGCGG
rnacentral:rRNA from 1 species